CUGGCCCUUGACAUCCAGAGAACUUUCCAGAGAUGGAUUGGUGCCUUCGGGAACUCUGAGACAGGUGCUGCAUGGCCGUCGUCAGCUCGUGUCGUGAGAUGUUGGGUUAAGUCCCGUAACGAGCGCAACCCCUAUCCCUGGUUGCUAGCAGGUAAUGCUGAGAACUCCAGGGAGACUGCCGGUGACAAACCGGAGGAAGGUGGGGAUGACGUCAGGUCAUCAUGGCCCUUACGGCCAGGGCUACACACGUGCUACAAUGGCGCGUACAGAGGGCUGCCAACUCGCGAGAGUGAGCCAAUCCCUUAAAACGCGUCGUAGUCCGGAUCGCAGUCUGCAACUCGACUGCGUGAAGUCGGAAUCGCUAGUAAUCGCGAAUCAGAAUGUCGCGGUGAAUACGUUCCCGGGUCUUGUA
rnacentral:rRNA from 1 species